rnacentral:rRNA from 1 species
ACCAACAGCUAUAUCACCCUGGAGCUCAGCAGUGUGAGCCUGGCCAGUACCUGGAUGGGAGACCUCCUGGGAAAAACUAAGGUUGCUGCUGGAA